CAUGAGCCACGAUGGGAACUCUGCAAAAAGUUUUCUUGAUCCCCAUUGAAAAAACUUUUCAGAAGCUUCUAAAUAUGGCUCCAUUCUCCAAGAGUAUCUGGGAAAUACUAUAACAAGAUCACUGUAACUAAUCCAUCUGAUAUGAGGCUCCAGAGAAACCUCAGCAAAUGUCCAUUAGGGAGAGAAUGAAGAUUAAAAACGAUGUUCAGGGUCUUAAUUAAAUAUUAUGUUAAUUUUAUGAAUUCUGGGUUUUAAAUAUGAAACCACUGGACUUGUAAUGAUAAUCGACUUGGGGAAGAAAAUCGUACUCUGCUUUCCAUGAAGCAUGAUGAUUAUCAUACUCCCUCUUUCCUUUACCUCCCCUGAUCCCCAGAUAGGCAUGCUUGCUACAUUGAGGAAACUUCUGGCAUUCCGCACAGCCUUAUACGCGGGCAGACAAACUUUCAGAGCAGGUUUGGAGGAGGAAAUCUCAUAAGCUUGGCCCAUAAACAUUACUCAGAACUGGACCUGGGGACUUUCCUGGUGGCUCAGUGUGUUAAGAAGCCGGCCUUGUCACUGAAGUGACGGUUCGCUGCUGUGGUGUGGAUUUGAUCCCUGGCCUAGGAACUUUCAUGUGCCACAGUCACAGCUGGAAAAAACAAAACAAAACAAAAAACCAACCAACCAACCAACAAAAAACCUAGGCCUGGAGUUCAUCACAAUUAUUUGUUCACUUUCUUAUUCCCUCCUUCCCUCAAUUCCUUCCCCAAACCUACAGAAUCAGAAAUUCCAGUAGUGCAUCCUGGGGAUUUGGAUUUUGUAAACACUCCUCUAAUCCUGAUGCAGUCAGCCCAGUACUGAUUUUGUGAACAUCCUCAGAGGUUUCCUAUGUUCCCAGAGGUUUCAAAACAGGACCUGCCUUCUGUGUGGAUAGCUGAGUAAUCACAGGUGAUUUUAAGGGUGGGGAAGAGCACUCUCGCCUCCAAAUAUCUUACAUAUUUUUGGGUUGAUUCUUAAAAUACUUUUGGCAGUGAACAAGACCAUUCACAUCAGGGUAAAGAGAUUUCUUUCUUUUAACAUGUCUAAGGUGUAAAUGAUUCAUACAAGAUAAUUUAGUCAGAACAGGUGAGUGGGGGAGAGGAAGAAGGCACCUGAUGUAUAGUGAUGGAGAAAGAAGGUGGCAUCUCCCAUAGAGAAAGGCAGAUUUUGGUACACAGUCUUGCUAAGGGUUGAGCCUACUCAAAACCCAAUAGUUUAUCUAUUUUUACCUAGAAGAGGGAUAGUAGAAUAAGCUUAAGGGACACAUACUUGGAAAAGUUAACAAUAGAGACACUUUGCAGUUAGGUAAGCCCAAUAAUUUUCUAAAACCUUACUAGAAAGCCAGGAAAGCAAAAUUCUUAAGAUAUCUCUCUCCAAAAUGACUAUCUCGGACAUGAUACACUUGCCCAGCACACAACCACAAAAUGAAUAAAAGAUGAAUUCGUUGUAGAAGACUUAGAGAUAGAUAGAUGACAUUUACAUAAUGAUGUAAAUUUGUACAAAAUGAUGGAGAGUAGUUCAUUUUUUUGAAAGCUGAUAAUGCCAACACUUAUGAAAGAAGUAGUUUCAUGUUAAUUUUGAGUUCUUCAAAUUUGGACAGUUUUUUUCAAAGGAAAAAGACAUACUUUCUACUCUUAGAUCACAGAAUUAGACAGUAAUCACGUUCCUUUUUCUCCAAGAUCUGAGUGCUUUUCAUCAUUGCCAAACCCUAAAAUUGAAAAUCCCAUAAAAAUGAAUUUUAAUAUUUUACUGCAAAUUGUCAUGCCGUAGAUGAAUUCCAAUUAGCCUUCUUUUUCUACUUUAUAAUUAGGAAAUAGAGUUGUGGGUGGGGGAAAGGGGGACAUAAUUCUGGGUAGUGGCCAGGAAAAAAAUAGUGUAAAAAAUUAUAGAGCACAAAUUUACAGAGUUUUACCAUCUGUCUUCAGUGACUGAUAUCUAGCCUUGCUUCAAGGAGGAAGACUAUGUCAGAUAACUCUUAAAAGUUUUUACUAGAGUUUUGGUUCUCUUAAUCAGGUAUUUUACACAAGUAAACUGAAAAAAACUAGAGUAAGGAAGAUUUGGGGAGGACUAGAUAGCUCUCUUCAGAUAUGCAAAAGUUGGGCAAGUGAAAAGGAAAUAGCCUUCCUUUAGCUGUACAUGAAGUUUUCAGUAACUUGAAAGAGUAGCACUAUUCAAUACAAGUAAGAAAUAACAAGUAAAAUAGACUGUCAUGCCAAUAUUCAGCUGUAUUUUCCUGGAAUUCUGUAAGCAGAAUCUGAUGGUUGUCUCUCACUGAUGUAGAAAACUGCAGUGGAUGGGAGACUGAACUGGGUGACCUUUCAGGUUACUUCUGAACUAAGGGAGGGCAGGGUAAUGUGAUAUUGUUUUAGGCUGGUUGCACCAGAGGUAGACUCUCCAGCAAGGGUUUAAAUGCAAGUGGUUUAUUGGGGAGGUAAUCCCAGGAGGUAUUAGUAGGAGGGUGGGGAUGUGAGUCUUGCUGGGGACCUCUGGAACACAUUUCAGAAUUGCCCCACCCAAGGGGUAAGAAAGCACGGAUAUCUAUCUUCCAUUCUCAUUUCUCCUGGCUGGGGACUGCUCUCUGGGACAUUAUUUCUUCAGUCCUCCUGGUCUGCCCUGUGCAGGUGGAAACUCAUGGGUCCUAGCAGUAUAAUGCUGCAGGCAAGCAUGAAGUAGUUGACAAGUGCCAAAGUGAUAUGACUGGGGCAUGACAAGUUCUGCUGUAGUUGUAGAGCACUGGCUAUGGAAUUAGGCUCAUCUGGAUUUGCUGCUUACCUCUCUUUAUUAUCUCUAUGACUUGAAACAACUUAUGUAGCCUUUCUGGAUCUAGUCCCAUCAACAAGUCAGAGAUAGCAUGGAUGCCACACAGGAUGAUUGUCGAGAUGCAAUAAAAUAACAAACUUACAGUACUUAACAGGUAGAAGAAGGAUCUAAAAAAGGUAGCUUUUGUUAUUAUAAGAAUAAAUCUUGCUUCUCAGAUCUAAAAUGAGCUCAGUACAGAAAUAGUAAGACAUUAAAACCUUAAAGGCUGGCAAAAGACUUUACGGGUAAUACAGAUGCUGAAGGAAAAGAUUAACUAUCACAGAAUUCAGUCAGAAAUUAUUUUUCUUCAUAUAGCAAAUAACGAGUAUUUAAUAUUUAUUGACUAUCAAGCAAAUGACUGACACUACUAAAUUCACAGAGAACACAAAUGCCUAUUUAUUCUUCAAGAUUUGGCUUAAGCAGCAUUUUCUGUAGGCUACCACCUUUGUAGCUGUGAAGGAUAGAAUUAUUUUCCAUCUAGACUGGGACACUGACUGACACUGACCCUAGGCCAAGAUAAGGGCAGUGGGCUAACUAAUGACGUGUAACAUGUUGUUUAAAGUUCAAAACUCUCCUGGCAGCACCUAGGGCUGGUUUAUGUUUUUUCCCCAGUUUUAGUGAGAUAUAAUUGACAUAUAAUGUUGUAUGAGCUUAAAGUACGUAACACAGUGAUUUGAUACAUGUAUAUUUCGGGAAAGGGUUACUGCCAUAAGUUUAGCUAACAUCCAUCACCACAUGUAGUUAAAAAUUUUUAUAAGAACUUUUAAGAUCUACUCUCUUAGCAGUUUUCAAAUAUGCAAUAUAAUAUUUUUAACCAUAGUUGCCAUGCUGUACAUUACACUCCCAGAACUUAUCUUAUGAUUGAAAGUUUGUACUUUGACCACUUUCCCCCAUCCCCCCUUUCCCCUUUCCACUCUCCAAAACCCCACCUAUGGCAAACACCAAUCUGUUCUGUUUCUAUGAGAUCACUUCUAUUAGAUUCUAUUUAUGUAAGUGAGAUCAUACAGUGUUUGUCUUUUUCUAUCUGACUUAUUUUACUUAGCCCAGUGCUCCCUUCUAUCAUGUUGUUCCAUGUUGUUGCAAAUGGCAGGAUUUCUUUCUUUCUUUUUUUUUUUUGGCUGGCCCCACAGCAUGGCAAAGUUCCCAGCCAGGGAUGGAACCCACACAGCAAUGACAACGUGGAAUGCUUAACUUCUAGGCUACCGGGGAACUCCAGGAUUUCCUUUUUUAUUGGCUGAAUUAUAUAAAGUCUUUAUCCAUUCGUGUGGGUAGGCUCUUAGGUUGUUCUAAGUGACGCUGUUGUGAGUAACGCUGCAGUGAACAUGGAGGUGUAGAUAUCUCUCUGAGACUGAUUUUCUUUCCUUUGGAUAUAUACCUGAAGUGGAAUUGCCAGAUCAUAAGGUUGUCCUAUUUUUAUUUAUUUUCAAAAGUUAAUUAUUCAUUUAUUUUUUAGAGAAGCCUGUGCCUUUAUUGGCCAAGCAUGCUCCUUGAAACGGAUGAAGCUGGAGAAGUGGGUGGACCUGAUGUCUGCGUGGCUUGUGCCUCACAGGCUUGUAGGUCUUUGAGAACUUGCCCACGUAGUGGCAGAUGAUCCAAGGUAUGGUUUUCACCUGGUUGAAGAUCUUGCCGUUGUAGACAUGCACCAUCUAGGGCAGGAUGAUUACGUCCCACAGGUGUGUGUCUUCACAACCUUAGCCUCCUCCACGUGCAGCACCGCCUUCCUAGCCUUGCACAUGCGCUUCAGGAGCGAGUUUGGCUACCUCUACAGGUCCGAUUUAGUUUCUGGUUGCAGCCGGGCACUGUUUUAACUGCACCAGCGGCUUGUAAGACUUGUGCAGCAGCUGGUCGAGGUCUAUGCCUGAGAUAUGACAAUCAUUCAAGUAUCUCUGCCAUUGAAGAUUGAUCCACAAUUCCAUAGGGAUCCACACUUUUGGAGAUUUAUUUAUUUAGUAAUCAAUCAAGAGUAAGAGGAAUUUUUCAGGUUAACUCUCAGUGGACACAUAUUUCAGUAACUAGUUGCUAUACCUAAAAAUAAAGAAAUAUUAGUGUUGCCUUUCCAAGAGAGACAAUAGGCAACUAUCUUAAGAAGAUGGAUUUCAAAGUGUAAAUAUUGGAAAAAAUCUAACCAUCCGAAGAUUUUCCAACAUGUCUUUUGGAGCAACUGAAAUAAAAGGCCAGACUUAAGGCCUUUCUUUCAAUCUGAUGAUUAAAAGAGGGUGUUUGACCUUUUUUUUUCUUUUAAAAUACUGCUUAA